UAGGGAAUCUUCCGCAAUGGGCGAAAGCCUGACGGAGCAACGCCGCGUGAGUGAUGAAGGUCUUCGGAUCGUAAAACUCUGUUAUUAGGGAAGAACAAAUGUGUAAGUAACUAUGCACGUCUUGACGGUACCUAAUCAGAAAGCCACGGCUAACUACGUGCCAGCAGCCGCGGUAAUACGUAGGUGGCAAGCGUUAUCCGGAAUUAUUGGGCGUAAAGCGCGCGUAGGCGGUUUUUUAAGUCUGAUGUGAAAGCCCACGGCUAAACCGUGGAGGGUCAUUGGAAACUGGAAAACUUGAGUGCAGAAGAGGAAAGUGGAAUUCCAUGUGUGGCGGUGAAAUGCGCAGAGAUAUGGAGGAACACCAGUGGCGAAGGCGACUUUCUGGUCUGUAACUGACGCUAAUGUGCGAAAGCGUGGGGAUCAAACAGG
rnacentral:rRNA from 1 species